GUCUUGAUAGCUCAGAUGGUAGAGCAUCAGACAUUUAAUCUGAGGGCUCAGGGUUCAAUUCCCAGUUCUAGGCA
rnacentral:tRNA from 1 species